rnacentral:rRNA from 1 species
GGGGGGGGGGGGGGGGGGGGGGGGGGGGGGGGGGGGGGGGGGGGGGGGGGGGGGUGGGUGGGCGGGGUGGGUGGGGAACGGGGGGGGAACGCGUAGGGAACCUGCCUGGGGGCGGGGGAUGACUAUUGGAAACGAUGGCUAAUACCGCAUAAUAGUAGAUGUUGCAUGGCAUUUGCUGAAAAGGUGCAAUUGCAUGCCUACCAGGUGGACCUGCGGUGUAUUAGCUAGGUGGGGUGGUAACGGCUCACCAAGGCGACGCUACAUAGCCGCCCUGAGAGGGGGAUCGGCCACACUGGGACGGAGACACGGCCCAGACUCCUACGGGAGGCAGCAGUAGGGAGUCUUCGGCAAUGGACGGAAGUCUGACCGAGAAACGCCGCGUGAGUGAAGAAGGUUUUCGGAUCGUAAAGCUCUGUUGUAAGAGAAGAACGAGUGUGAGAGUGGAAAGUUCACACUGUGACGGUAUCUUACCAGAAAGGGACGGCUAACUACGUG